rnacentral:rRNA from 1 species
UACAAGGGCUGAGGCAGUGUCUCGGAAUCACUGGGCGUAAAGCGCACGUAGGCGGAUCUUUAAGUCAGGGGUGAAAUCCUGGAGCUCAACUCCAGAACUGCCUUUGAUACUGGGGAUCUCGAGUCCGGAAGAGGUGAGUGGAACUCCGAGUGUAGAGGUGAAAUUCGUAGAUAUUCGGAAGAACACCAGUGGCGAAGGCGGCUCACUGGUCCGGUACUGACGCUGAGGUGCGAAAGCGUGGGGAGCAAACAGGG